UACGAAGGGUGCUAGCGUUGCUCGGAAUUACUGGGCGUAAAGGGUUUGUAGGCGGCUUCUUAAGCCAGUGGUGAAAGCCCAGAGCUCAACUCUGGAAUUGCCAUUGGUACUGGGGAGCUAGAGAGUGUUAGAGGUAAGUGGAAUUCCUAGUGUAGGAGUGAAAUCCGUAGAUAUUAGGAGGAACAUCGAUGGCGAAGGCAGCUUACUGGGACAUUUCUGACGCUGAGAAACGAAAGCGUGGGUAGCAAAC
rnacentral:rRNA from 1 species